UACGAAGGGGGCUAGCGUUGUUCGGAAUUACUGGGCGUAAAGCGCACGUAGGCGGAUUAUUAAGUCAGGGGUGAAAUCCCGGGGCUCAACCUCGGAACUGCCUUUGAUACUGGUAAUCUCGAGUCCGGAAGAGGUGAGUGGAAUUCCUAGUGUAGAGGUGAAAUUCGUAGAUAUUAGGAAGAACACCAGUGGCGAAGGCGGCUCACUGGUCCGGUACUGACGCUGAGGUGCGAAAGCGUGGGGAGCAAACAGG
rnacentral:rRNA from 1 species